rnacentral:rRNA from 1 species
CCUAUCCCGGCCGGUGGUUGUGCCGGGGUAAGCAUGUAGCCCGUCCCAUAGGCAAAUCCGUGGGGCAUUUAAGGGUGAGACGUGAUGCCGAGCCGUUUCAGGUGAAGUCAUUGAUCCUAUGCUGCCGAGAAAAGCCUCUAGCGAUGUUCCGAGCGGCCCGUACCCUAAACCGACACAGGUGGUCAGGUAGAGAAUACUAAGGCGACGGGUGAACUGUGGUUAAGGAACUCGGCAAAUUGCCCCCGUAACUUAGGGAGAAGGGGGGCCGGACGCGUGAAGCCCCUUGCGGGUGGAGCGUGGUAUGGCCGCAGAGAGCAGGGGGAAGCGACUGUUUACUAAAAACACAGGUCCAUGCCAAGUCGUAAGACGAUGUAUAUGGACUGACGCCUGCCCGGUGCUGGAACGUUAAGGGGACCUGUUAGCCCGUAAGGGCGAGGCGGAGAACUUAAGCGCCAGUAAACGGCGGUGGUAACUAUAACCAUCCUAAGGUAGCGAAAUUCCUUGUCGGGUAAGUUCCGACCUGCACGAAUGGCGUAACGACUUCCCCACUGUCUCAACCACAGGCCCGGCGAAAUUGCACUACGAGUAAAGAUGCUCGUUACGCGCGGCAGGACGGAAAGACCCCGGGACCUUUACUAUAGCUUGACAUUGGUAUCCGAAUUUAAUUGUGUAGGAUAGGUGGGAGCCGGUGAAGCUCGGACGCCAGUUCGGGUGGAGGCAAUCUUGAAAUACCACUCUGUUGGGUUUGGGUACCUAACUUGCGGCCCUGAUCGGGUCGAGGGACAGUGUCUGGUGGGUAGUUUAACUGGGGCGGUUGCCUCCUAAAGGGUAACGGAGGCGCCCAAAGGUUCCCUCAGCCUGGUUGGCAAUCAGGUGUUGAGUGUAAGUGCACAAGGGAGCUUGACUGUGAGACUGACGGGUCGAGCAGGGACGGAAGUCGGGACUAGUGAUCCGGCACUUGCGUGUGGAAGCGGUGUCGCUCAACGGAUAAAAGGUACCCCGGGGAUAACAGGCUGAUCUUCCCCAAGAGUCCAUAUCGACGGGAUGGUUUGGCACCUCGAUGUCGGCUCGUCGCAUCCUGGGGCUGCAGCAGGUCCCAAGGGUUGGGCUGUUCGCCCAUUAAAGCGGUACGCGAGCUGGGUUUAGAACGUCGUGAGACAGUUCGGUCCCUAUCCGCCGUGCGCGUUGGAUACUUGAGAAGGGCUGUCCCUAGUACGAGAGGACCGGGACGGACGAACCUCUGGUGUGCCGGUUGUCCCGCCAGGGGCACGGCUGGUUGGCUACGUUCGGAAGGGAUAACCGCUGAAAGCAUCUAAGCGGGAAGCUCGCUUCGAGAUGAGGUAUCCCACCACCUUGAGUGGGUAAGGCUCCCAAUAGACUAUUGGGUUGAUAGGCUGGAGAUGUAAGCCAGGUGACUGGUUCAGUCGACCGGUACUAAUAGGCCGAGGGCCAA